CUGGUAGCUGUAGUUAUUUUCCCCCUCCUCAUGCCAGCGCCGCUUGUCUUGUCGGCGGCCGUCCGGCCGCCGGUCAAGAUAAAUUCAGCACAGGCGAAGAAGAUCAGCGACUACUUCAAGAAGCAAGCCUUCGACUUCUUGAAGGAUCACGCCUUGGACGUCAUCCCGAACGUCCUGUCAACUCCGGAAGGCCAGAAGCAGGGCACAAAAGCGGCCGACACCGCCGGCCUCUACGUCUUUAACCUCUCCGUCGGCACGUCGAUCCUGCAGAACAUUACCGGCAUCCUGGACAUCACCACUGAGCUCGUGUGGGCGCAGUGCGCGUGUAGCGCUGACGCCUGCUUGCCACCUCCGGGGACCACAUUCGACCCAAGUACGUCGGACACCUUCGCCGGGGUUCCCUGCAUCAGCCAGAGGUGCCAGAGCGUGAUCAAGCAGCAAUGUGACCCUGACCCCGCGGCGAACUGCACGUACCUUAUGCAAUACGACGACUACACCAACACGACCGGCUACCUCGGCAACGACACGUUCACGUUUGGUCAGACUCAGUUCCCCGACGUGGUGUUCGGCUGCAGCAAGGCGAGCUACGGUGAUUUCUUUGGCGCCUCCGGCGUCCUGGGCUUCAGCAGGGGGAGCCUAUCCCUGGUGUCCCAGCUCCAACUCUCCUGGUUCUCCUACCUCUUGGUUUCGGACGGACCCAGCCCCUUGCAGUUCGGCUAUGACGCCGUUCCGCAGACGGAGAACAGCCACUCAACUCCCCUUCUCAACAACGACGCAAACCCUGGCCUUUACUAUGUCAAGCUCACCGGCAUAAUGAUCGACGGCCGGCAGCUCAACGGCAUCCCAGCUGGAACCUUCGACAUCCAGUCGAACGGUUCCGGCGGGGUGUUCCUGAGCACGACCGUCCCGGUCACGUACCUCGACGAGGCCGCGUACAACGUUGUCAGGAAGGCAUUCGUCAGCCGGAUCACGGCGGAAGCUGUGGACGGCUCGGCGCUUGGUCUUGACCUGUGCUACACGUUGCAACCCAAAGACGAAAUGGUGGUUCCCAAGCUGACACUGGUGUUCGACGGCACGAACGCGGCGAUGGAGCUCAAGAAGUACAACUACUUCUUCGCGGACAACAACACCAACCUGGAGUGCCUGACCAUUCUGCCGUCCCGGGGCGGGUCGCUAC
rnacentral:lncRNA from 1 species